rnacentral:lncRNA from 1 species
CGACAGUUAUAUAAUUAAGUUUGUAUUUGAUUUAUGUACCAAGUAUCUGGCAAUCCAAGAUGGGUGAUGUAUACCUGUUUUGGGGACGUCAUAGGACAAGUUACAUUUUAGCCAUUAAAUUGCAAGAAAAUGACCUAAAUGCCCUUUUGCACAUUCUUUUUUAGGUUACUUGUGAAUUUUGCCAAAACUUUAGUGGUUGAACAACUCUUGACUUUCCCAUGUGACAUAUAUCUCAGCAAAUCAGCCACUUCUUGAUAGCAACAUCAGCUACAUACAUUGCAUUCAUAUUAUAAAUAGAUUAAGAGAGAGAAGAGUUCACAUUUUGCUCAUUCACUCAACCAAACUCUCUCAGCCCUAGACCCACGAAUUUCUUUAGUAAAUCAGUCCAUUAUCAAGUCCCCACUACCUCCACUAACAAAUCAGAAGCUUAGAAUCAAGAACUUGUUCAUAGUGAGGUAUAACCUUAACCAAGAAUCUGAUCCUUAAUG